GAUGAACGCUGGCGGCGUGCUUAACACAUGCAAGUCGAACGGAAAGGCCCAAGCUUGCUUGGGUACUCGAGUGGCGAACGGGUGAGUAACACGUGGGUGAUCUGCCCUGCACUUCGGGAUAAGCCUGGGAAACUGGGUCUAAUACCGGAUAGGACCACUUCUUGGAUGUUGUGGUGGAAAGUUUUUUCGGUGUGGGAUGAGCUCGCGGCCUAUCAGCUUGUUGGUGGGGUAAUGGCCUACCAAGGCGUCGACGGGUAGCCGGCCUGAGAGGGUGUACGGCCACAUUGGGACUGAGAUACGGCCCAGACUCCUACGGGAGGCAGCAGUGGGGAAUAUUGCACAAUGGGCGCAAGCCUGAUGCAGCGACGCCGCGUGGGGGAUGACGGCCUUCGGGUUGUAAACUCCUUUCGCUAGGGACGAAGCGUUUUGUGACGGUACCGGAGAAGAAGCACCGGCUAACUACGUG
rnacentral:rRNA from 1 species